CCCAUUGCAUUUAGAGGAGGAUUUUUGGCUACAGUGUUGCUGUCAUGUUGAGGGUUUCACUCUCUUCAGGUGAAAUUCACCUCUGUGCCGAGGAACCUGACAGAUGAGUGGAACUGGAUAAAGGUGGGAAUGAAGGGAGCAGGAGGCCUUUGUCUUAUUUAAUGCCUUAGAUGCUAAUGAGAGUCCUGCAUUGCUUUUUUGUACUGCUUCCUACUUGGGUUUUGAGCCAGAAGGACAAAUGAAAACUAAGUUUACACCUAUGUAUAAUGUCAAGGAAACAUUUUGUUCCCUUUGUGUGUUCAAUGGGAUGGCUUCUGUACACAACAUCAAAUGUGUGCAUAAUCAUCUUUCUGCCCUCUAUCACCAGAAUUGUGCCCUGGAUCUCAUGAGCUGAGAACAUGAGUCACAGCACUCCUCAAAACAAUGGUGUCCUUGUGACAGUAGCAGUUCUGGAGUUUGAAGGGAUUUUGACACACAGCUGUAUAACCAGUGCUGAUCAGGGAGAUACACGUGCACAGAUUUUUUUUUUUUCUUUCUUUCCUUAUUUCAAGAUUGUAGAGCUGGAAGGGCUGCUCUAUCUUGUCAGCUCUCCUGCAAGAACAGAGGAGACUGCAGAGUCAGGGCCUAAGGUUAUCGCUGGAGAAGGUGUUAGACUCCUCUUGCUGGACUUCUGGUGUUGUGGGAAGUCUUUGCUUUCUGAGUUACUAAAGUAGACAACUGCUGAAUUAAAAAAUAAAUAAAUAUAUAUAUGAGAAGACAUCAAGGAGGCUAUGUAGAGAGAGAGCAGCAACACAGACCCUGUGGGUCCUGCUGGAUUGCUAAACUGGAUCCAAUCUCACUGUGGCUUCCAUACCUGCAGAAUCCUGUGGUCCUACAUGCACACCGGACUCUCGAGAAGAUUUCUUGUGCUGUCCAGGUAACAGCGGAUUCCAAAAGGCGGUAAAAGGAGCCCUGUUCUCUGUAUCUCUCCUGGACACUGGGAGGAGGGAUGCCCGACCCCACAGCCAGCUGGCAGAAGAUGUGGUGCUCUUGGGAGCUGCACACAAGUGGCCAUCAGGCCACCAGGAACAGGCUUUGCUGAAGGUGACGACUACCUUCCCCAGGGACUGUUGGUCCAGAUGCUCCAGAAGAAGCGGCCCGAAGGCGUCCUCCAAGGCCAGCCAGUGCUCAGCACCAUCUGGACAUCACCCUCAGCCCCAUUUCCAAAUCAGCACCCUCUCUCCCUCCUGAAAAACUGUACCUUGGGUUGUCAGGGGAAUCAUCUGUCACAUCUGCCAUCUCAGAAAUCUACACAAUCACACACUCGGCGGAUA